UGCCUGGCGGACACUAUGCUUCUCUAUAUUCAAAUUUUACUUUCUCGUUCAUUUCCCUCCUUCCUUUUUUCUAUUUCGAAUUCGCUCCUAUUCUUCGCGCGCUUCUGCCAUUGUCGCCCUUCAUUUGCGAUUGCUCGAGCCUGGGUCACCCUUCAACCCAUUGCCCCUUUCUUGCACUUCAGACACAACCCCCUUCUUCUUCAAUCUUUUCAAAAUCUUUUUUUUUUCUUUUUCAAUCCAAAACCCUAUUCGAAUCCAGUUGAGCCCCAACACUGUUGAAGGCGAUUUGGCUGCUCGAUUGUGGUAGCUGGUACGCUGGUUCGUUCUUCUUCGUUGGAAGGAGCACUCAGAUAAAUGUGACUUCAGCAUUUUUUUGUUCUGUUUUGGUUCAGAAGACAGUGGAGAUUCGGUCUUGUCUUCUUUCGCUUGGUUUCCCCAGGUGGUGCGGUUGGNGAGUAGAGAAGGCUCGUCGAGUCCUUGAUGCCGGGUCGUUCCAAAGUGACUUGCGCCUUCAUUCCUUCAUCCCCAGGUUGCAGAAGGAAGUGCAAGAACUCAGUGCGGGAGGUCCCUGCUGCAUAGGUGGAGUAAUGUUUGGCUGGGAAAAGUCUCGCUUUGGAUGUCUUCUUCUGCAUCUGGAGGUUACUCAAGGAUUUUGUGACCCUAACCCUACAUAAUAUGUUGAUAGUGAGAAAAUAGAGCCAAAUGUAGUUUCCUAUUAGGGUUUGAAAUCUAACAAGAAUAAUUUCCUACACAUCGAUUCGGUAAAGGGAGAGUUCAUGAAGAUUAUAAAGAAUGGCUACAAAUGUUCUCCUGCGAGGAUGGAGAUGUAUAUCCUGUUAGCUUCUCAGCUGCCAAAUUGAUGUUAAGAAAAGUAAUCCACUCUUCCAUUGCAAUGUAUCACCAGUUCCUGUGAGAAUUAUAGUGGCUACAUCUAUUUUAUUUUGAUUUGUCUGUUAUCUUGUUGUAUUAUAGACCUAUAUAUUCUAUAUUAUAUGGUGUAUUCUAUAUUAUAUUGUAAAUAUAUGAUGAAGCAAGCAUGCCAAACAAUGAGAAAUGUGAUGAAGAACAAAAUUUACAUUGUUUCUUUUUAGCAAUGUAAUGAACAUCUCGGUAAUAUUUUUAGUAUAUUAAUUUAGAUUUG